rnacentral:ncRNA from 1 species
UAAGAGUUGAUUCGUCCUCUUAUUUGAAGUUUGAGGACAUAAAAAAGGCGAAUUCAAUCAUAAAUACUUGAUUGAAUCGGCGAAGC